GUAUUUUCCGUUUCCUUCCACUUUCUGUGUUGAAAUUUUAAAUUUGGUGGAUUAAUGUGGACUAUUAUUGACUGCUUCUCAGAUCUCUGCAGGGU